rnacentral:rRNA from 1 species
AAGCCAGACUCCUACGGGAGGCAGCAGUGGGGAAUAUUGCACAAUGGGGGGAACCCUGAUGCAGCGACGCCGCGUGGGUGAAGGAGUAUUUCGGUAUGUAAAGCCCUAUCAGCAGGGAAGAACAAUGACGGUACCUGACUAAGAAGCACCGGCUAAAUACGUGCCAGCAGCCGCGGUAAUACGUAUGGUGCAAGCGUUAUCCGGAUUUACUGGGUGUAAAGGGAGCGCAGGCGGCGCGUUAAGCCUGGUGUGAAAGCCCGCGGCCCAACCGCGGGACUGCAUUGGGAACUGGCGCGCUGGAGUGCCGGAGGGGUAGGCGGAAUUCCUGGUGUAGCGGCGAAAUGCGUAGAUAUCAGGAGGAACACCGGCGGCGAAGGCGGCCUGCUGGACCGCGACUGACGUUGAGGCUCGAAAGCGUGGGGAGCGAACAGGAUUAGAUACCCGAGUA